rnacentral:RNase_P_RNA from 1 species
GAGGAAAGUCCGAGCUCCACAGGGCAGGGUGCCGGCUAACGGCCGGUGGGGGCAACCCUAAGGAUAGUGCCACAGAAAUGAAGACCGCCGAUGGGAACCAUUGGUUCCACAGGCAAGGAUGCAACGGUGCGGUAAGAGCGCACCAGCAACAUGGAGACAUGUUGGCUAGGUAAACCCCACCCGGAGCAAGACCUGAUAGGGGAUCCGCGCCGAGAGGCGCAGCUGUAGCCCGCAGUGAUCCCGGGUAGGUCGCUUGAGCGGUGCAGCAAUGCAUCGCCUAGACAGAUGAUUGCCACUCCGCCGGUGGGAGGCGUUUCGACAGACGCCGUCUGA